rnacentral:lncRNA from 1 species
CUUCGAACGGGUGUUUCCACGGCCGUCAUCGAGACGAACCCCUCAGUCAGCCGUGGAAAAAGAAGAAACUGUGAGCUAAGAGCAAGGGAGUCCAUGUAAACGAUAGAGCAUCUCACAUUGGAAGGGACCCAUGAUGAUCACCAUGUCCAGCAUAUGAAAAGAUCAGAAAAACAGUGUCAGAAUGACGUUAAGACCCUUAAGCACGGUGGCAAAUCCAGAGUGACAAGACACUAACUUGUCAGUCUGGACCACUUAACAGCAGUACUGAAUGCUGGCAUAGGAAGCAGCAUUUGCACAGGUACGUGCAAACAUAUCCGCACAAGAUUCUUUGUGUUAUUUUUACCUGGGUAUACUAAUAAAAACUCUGCAGCUCAGUUUGUUCUCCCGGAGUCUAGUUUAAGAAGUAAUACUAACCAAAUCUAUUAACAUCUUCAGGAUUUCAUGAGGGUUGUCAAGUUCUUCAACUUUUCUGCUGUCAGCAUCUGAGGAGAGCAGGCCUGAUAGUUUCUGUCCCAGACUGUUCUUGUUCACUUGUAGCUUGACAGACCCUAUGAACAACAGAAAGUAUGAGAACAGUGGAAAUAUGUAAGAGAAAAGCUAGUUUUGGAUAAAAUGAAUGUGCGUCCAACUGAACUCUAAGCAGUCUCCUCGAGAAGGGCACUGCAGGCUACAGCUUCUACUGUACAUCUUGGGGCAGGUUAUUAAUAUGCAGCACCACUUAAAAGCUACCUAGACUUUUCAUCAGGUACAUGAGCAAACUGAAAAUGAAAAUCAUUUAUUUUUGCUAUUUAAAAUGAUAUCUUGCCUCUAGCUAAAUAACAAUUCAUGUAAUGUGUUUUUAAGCAUCUGGUAGCCUGGUAUGUUCAGUUUGUAAGAUUUAUCAAAAGAUUAAAAUACAUUAAAAAGAAGAAAUGCUUGCAUCAAAACCCAG